rnacentral:rRNA from 1 species
UACGUAGGUGGCAAGCGUUGUCCGGAAUUAUUGGGCGUAAAGCGCGCGCAGGCGGCCUUUUAAGUCUGAUGUGAAAGCCCACGGCUCAACCGUGGAAGGUCAUUGGAAACUGAAAGGCUUGAGUACAGAAGAGGAAAGCGGAAUUCCACGUGUAGCGGUGAAAUGCGCAGAUAUCAGGAAGAACACCCGUGGCGAAGGCGGCUCUCUGGGACGGUACUGACGCUGAGACGCGAAAGCGUGGGGAGCGAACAGG